UACGGAGGGUGCAAGCGUUAUCCGGAUUCACUGGGUUUAAAGGGUGCGUAGGCGGGCAGGUAAGUCAGUGGUGAAAUCUCCGGGCUUAACCCGGAAACUGCCGUUGAUACUAUCUGUCUUGAAUGCCGUGGAGGUAAGCGGAAUAUGUCAUGUAGCGGUGAAAUGCGCAGAUAUCAGGAAGAACACCCGUGGCGAAGGCGGCUCUCUGGGACGGUACUGACGCUGAGACGCGAAAGCGUGGGGAGCGAACAGG
rnacentral:rRNA from 1 species